UACAGAGGUCUCAAGCGUUGUUCGGAUUCAUUGGGCGUAAAGGGUGCGUAGGCGGCGCGGUAAGUCGGGUGGUGAAAUCUCGGAGCUUAACUCCGAAACUGCAUUCGAUACUGCUGUGCUUGAGGACUGGAGAGGAGACUGGAAUUUACGGUGUAGCGGUGAAAUGCGUAGAUAUCGUAAGGAAGACCAGUGGCGAAGGCGGGUCUCUGGACAGUUCCUGACGCUGAGGCACGAAGGCCAGGGGAGCAAACGGG
rnacentral:rRNA from 1 species